UGCUCUGUGGGUGUCCCCUGGUGUCCAUGGCACUGGUCAGUGAUGUGUCACAGCCAAGGAGCCCCCACACCCAGCUGGCUCUGCAGAGGACAGCCUCAGCACACGGUGCUGGUCUCACUGUGGGAAGUGGUUCUGACCUCUGACUGAUCACACUGGGCUUCCUUCACCUGCCCAGCUCCACUGCACAUCCUGCCUGCACCACACAAAGUGCACACAGCAUCUGAGGGCAGCACGGGGUCGUGAUCUUUUAAAGAAUCACAGAAUGGGUUGGGUUGGAAAAGACCUCAGAGCUCAUCUCAUUCCAACCCCCCUUCCAUGGGACACCUUCCACUAGACCAGCUUGCUCCAAGCCCCAUCCAACCUGGCCUUGGACACUUCCAGAGGGUCACUUGAAGAAGAUAUUUACUUUUGUAAAAUAUUUAUGCAGAUACACCUACCUCUAGAGAUAAACACCUUCCAAAUACAAAUUCAUAGGUCACUAAUUUGGGCAUAACAUAUAUAGAGAAACCAUUGGGAAAAUACCAGAGCAGGUCCAACAGCCAAGUUUUAGGAAGGAACACCCACCUCCAGCAUGGAAAAAAGUUGGACAAGAAAAAUGAACUUUCCAACACAGAAACAAGAGUUUUCUAAUUCAAUCCAUACAGCCAGUUGCUUUUGCUUUGCCCUUCCAAGUGGUCAAGGAUGAGGUUCUGCACCCUAAGGUUACGAUUUCCCUUGGAGCCUGGACUGAGCAGGUCACAGGGAGCUGUCUGCCCAUGGCUGUGGCUGAGGAUGACAGGACACCUCUCCAGCUGCACAGGGACAUCCCCAGUGCCAGGGUGAGCUCAUCCCUCUGACCCCUACAGGCAGCUGCUGGUGAAUUCUGAACAUUGCUCACCCUGUCUGCAGGCAGACACGAGUUCAAGUAUGAACUGGGUUACAAUGAGCUGCUUGCUCAAGAACAUCUUCAAAAUUACUCUGGCUGGAGUGGCUUUACAUGUGUCUGAUGCAGCCAUGGGAGCUGGUCUUCCAGGAUUGCUAGGAUUGCUCCUGAGCAUGCUCUCAUCCCUGAAUGUGUUCAGAGGACCUGGCAUAACCCUUCCACACUGCUCCUUCCAAAACCCUGACUGCCUUCCAUCUUCCUACCCACAUGGUAAAUCUUUCCCAGAUCCCAAAGGCUCUGGAGGCUGUGCAUUCAUCCAGCAACAACCCUCAUCUCCAAAUCAACACCCACUUGGCUGCGAGUUAGGAACCCCAGGGUGCCAGGAGAGUUGGUAUUUGAAGUUGCAAGGCUGACCCACCCCUGAGGCUGGGAUCCACAGCGAGCCCUGUACUCCUGGCACAGCUUCCCACGCCUCCCCAGGGGCAGCAGGCCCUGCCUGGUGCUGAAAAACUGCCAAAGUCCGAUUUUAAUGAUCAUUUAUCUCAGCAACACAGGCAAGGAGAAAAGGAAAAAAACCAACAGUUCUUAUCACAGGACAGAACAAAGUGGUGCUGAGGUCCCCAGGCAGCUCCCACACCUGCAGAAAGCUGCACAGGCCCCAGGCACACAACCCCAGCAAUAAACCAGCCAGCAGCAGCA
rnacentral:lncRNA from 1 species